rnacentral:rRNA from 1 species
CAGCAGCCGCGGUAAUACGGAGGAUCCAAGCGUUAUCCGGAAUCAUUGGGUUUAAAGGGUCCGUAGGCGGCCCAGUAAGUCAGUGGUGAAAUCUCCCGGCUCAACCGGGAAAUUGCCAUUGAUACUGCUGGGCUUGAAUUACUAGGAAGUAACUAGAAUAUGUAGUGUAGCGGUGAAAUGCUUAGAUAUUACAUGGAAUACCGAUUGCGAAGGCAGGUUACUACUAGUGGAUUGACGCUGAUGGACGAAAGCGUGGGUAGCGAACAGGAUUAGAUACCCUGGUAGUCCACGCCGUAAACGAUGGAUACUAGCUGUUGGGAGCAAUCUCAGUGGCUAAGCGAAAGUGAUAAGUAUCCCACCUGGGGAGUACGAACGCAAGUUUGAAACUCAAAGGAAUUGACGG